AGAUAGAAGAAAGCCUACUUUGCUGGAUUUCUCUAAAAUGAGAAUUGUCUGUUCUUUUAGUACCAUUAACAGAAGACAACUCAUCGGAAAAAGUCUGACACUUUUCAGGUUAACUUAAUGUGGACUGUUCUUAGAGAAAAUAAUAGGAAUGAUGGAAAAGCAUCUCAGAACUUCACAAAAGAAGAUGUGAAGGUCAGCUGUGGUUCCAGAUUUUUAACGAUCGUUGUUUUCUUCCCUGAAUGUUAAGAAAUGCCCAAUCGUACUUCAGCAACUAGCAACUGUAGCUAAAGGAAUUGGAACAUAGAGAAUAUACUGCCAGGGACAAAAGGAAGAAAACAGCCCAGGGUGAUGGUGCAUGAAAGCCAGAUGGAUAUCCAAUCUACCACCUGUUGUUAAGAAGACUGCCCUCUCUCUGGUUGCUCUGGAGUGCAACCUUUGCUGAAACUCAGUUGUCCAUAUUACGCCUAGCUCUAGAUGCUCUUAUUGUCUAUUUUUUUAAUUGAGAUAAAACUAACUUAUAACACUAUUAGUUGUAGGUGUGCAACAUAAUGAUUUGCUAUAUGUUGAUACAGGAUAUAUUUCAAAAUGAUUAUCGUAGUAAUUUAACAUCCAUCACCACAUAUAGCUAUAAAAUUUUUUUUCUUGUGAUUGGAACUUUUAAGAUACACCCUCUUACGAAAUUUCAAAUGUACAGAACAGUAUUGUUAACUAUAUUUAUUACCCUCCAUACUACAUCCCAGGACUGUUUGUCUAUUAUUAAGCCUUACUUUAAUUACUUUAGAUCUAUAUCUUGCUAUGUUUUGGUACAAAACUAUCCACUGUUCUUACUUUUGAUUAUUCUUGGUUUUAGGAAUUUUUGUAUGAAUUUAAAAGCAACUUGUCACUCUCCAGAAAAUUCUGCUAGUAUUUUCAAUGGGAUUGAAUGAAUUUGUAGAGCAAUUUAGAGAGAACUAACAUAUUUUCAUUAACAAAUCUUCCAAUUCAUGAAAUUGUUUCAGCCUUCCUUUGGGAAGCCUUCCUUUUAUGUGUCUCAAUAACACUUCCUGGUUUUCUGCCUUAUGUUCUUGCAUAUCUUUGUUAUGUUUAUUCUUAAAUAUUGUGAUUUUAUGGUUUUGUAGAAGAUAUUUUACUUAAAAGUGCAUUUCCUAAUUCUUGUAGCUGGUAUGUAGAAAUACAGGUUUUUAUAUUAAAUUUUUAUCUAGUAAUCUUGCUAGACUGUUUCAUUAGUCUAAUAAUGUAUCUGUAGAUACGUUUAGAUUUUCUUCUUCAGUCUUAGUAUAACCUAUACAUUAUGAUAGUUUUAUUUCUUUCUCUCAAAUCAUUACAUUGCUUAUUUUCCUUACCUUUGAUCGUUGUCUAGGACUUCCAGUACAAAGUUGCAUAAAGACAUGAUAAGAGUUUCCAUAUUUUGUUUUUGUUGUCAGAGACAAACCUUUCAACAUGUCACCAAUAUCUGUGAUGAUUGUUCUUAUGUUUGUUUUACUGAAUACUCUUUAUCAUAUUAAAAAAUAGCCUUCUGUAACUACUUGCUAAAGAACUUUUUUAUUGUGAGUGGAUAGUGACUUUUAUUAAGUAUUUUUUAAAUUUGCAUCACUUGAGAGGACUACUUUGUGUUCAUGUAAUAAUUGCACUGAUAUUCAAAUCCUGAAACCAAUCUUGUAUCCUAAAUAAAUUCAAUCUGCUCGUAUAUUUUGGUUAAUAUUCUUUUUAGGAGUUUUAAAAACCUAGGAUCGUAAAUGAGGCCUGCCUGUAUUUUUCUAAUUUCAUACUAUCUUCAACAGUAUUUGAUAUCAAUGUCACUAUUUGAUAUCCUAAAACAAUGCAGAUGGUUAUCUUUCUUUUUCUCUCACUUGGAAGAUAUUGUAUAUGAUUAGAAUUAUUUCUUCCUUAAAUGUUUUUCAGAAUUCAUUAGUGAAGCCAUUAAGUUCUGGGGUUUCAUUUUCUAAGAAAAAAAAAUUAUGUUUUAUUUAGAUUAAAAUUAUUAUUCAGGUUACCCUUUUUUGUUGUUUUCUGGUUGUUAGCUCACCAAUUUUUUUUUCCCACCAAUAUGGAAUUUUUCUAUUUCCAUCUAAAUGUUCAAGUUUAUUAUCAUAAAAUUAUUAUCUUGUUAAUGUCUGUAGGAUAGUGACCUUCCCUUUUUUAUUCUUGUUAUUAUAUGACUUCUCUUUUUUGCUAAGUCCCUUAAAGCGUUUGUCAAUUUUAUCAGUUUGUUCAAAACAUGGACUUUCAAUUGGAUAUUUGUUUUAUAGUUUAUCAGUUUUGUUCUUUAUUAUUCCCUUCCCUCAAUGUUCUUUGAUGUUAAUUUCUUGGUCAUUUAAACACUUCUUAGGAUGAGUGCUUAGCUCACUUAUUUGUAUUCUUCUUUUACUUAUAAUGCAUGCAUUUAAAGCCAUAGAUUUCCUAUAAACAGAGCUUUAGCUGCAUCUCACAAAAUUUUAUUAUCAUUUAGUAUUUUCAUUAUGUUUGACCCAAAGUAGGUCCUCAUUAUUAUUGAGAU